rnacentral:rRNA from 1 species
ACGAACGCUGGCGGCGUGCUUAACACAUGCAAGUCGAACGGAAAGGCCCUGCUUUUGUGGGGUGCUCGAGUGGCGAACGGGUGAGUAACACGUGAGUAACCUGCCCUUGACUUUGGGAUAACUUCAGGAAACUGGGGCUAAUACCGGAUAGGAGCUCCUGCUGCAUGGUGGGGGUUGGAAAGUUUCGGCGGUUGGGGAUGGACUCGCGGCUUAUCAGCUUGUUGGUGGGGUAGUGGCUUACCAAGGCUUUGACGGGUAGCCGGCCUGAGAGGGUGACCGGCCACAUUGGGACUGAGAUACGGCCCAGACUCCUACGGGAGGCAGCAGUGGGGAAUAUUGCACAAUGGGCGGAAGCCUGAUGCAGCAACGCCGCGUGCGGGAUGGAGGUCUUCGGAUCGUAAAACUCUGUUAUUAGGGAAGAACAUAUGUGUAAGUAACUGUGCGCAUCUUGACGGUACCUAAUCAGAAAGCCACGGCUAACUACGUG